rnacentral:rRNA from 1 species
UUUAAAAGCUUGCUUUUAAAAGUUAGCGGCGGACGGGUGAGUAACACGUGGGUAACCUGCCUGUAAGACUGGGAUAACUCCGGGAAACCGGGGCUAAUACCGGAUAACUUCUUUCCUCGCAUGAGGAAAGAUUGAAAGAUGGCUUCGGCUAUCACUUACAGAUGGACCCGCGGCGCAUUAGCUAGUUGGUGAGGUAACGGCUCACCAAGGCGACGAUGCGUAGCCGACCUGAGAGGGUGAUCGGCCACACUGGGACUGAGACACGGCCCAGACUCCUACGGGAGGCAGCAGUAGGGAAUCUUCCGCAAUGGACGAAAGUCUGACGGAGCAACGCCGCGUGAGUGAUGAAGGUUUUCGGAUCGUAAAACUCUGUUGUUAGGGAAGAACAAGUAUCGUUCGAAUAGGGCGGUACCUUGACGGUACCUAACCAGAAAGCCACGGCUAACUACGUGCCAGCAGCCGCGGUAAUACGUAGGUGGCAAGCGUUGUCCGGAAUUAUUGGGCGUAAAGCGCGCGCAGGCGGUUUCUUAAGUCUGAUGUGAAAGCCCACGGCUC